rnacentral:rRNA from 1 species
UACGUAGGUGGCAAGCGUUGUCCGGAUUUACUGGGCGUAAAGAGCGCGCAGGCGGUCGGAUAAGUCGAAUGUGAAAGCCCCCGGCUCAACUGGGGAGGGUCAUUCGAUACUGUUCGACUCGAAGGCAGGAGAGGGAAGUGGAAUUCCCGGUGUAGUGGUGAAAUGCGUAGAUACCGAGAGGAACACCUGCGGCGAAGGCGGGUUGCUGGGCUGACACUGACGCUGAUGCGCGAAAGCUAGGGGAGCGAACGGG